rnacentral:rRNA from 1 species
UACAGAGGUCUCAAGCGUUGUUCGGAUUCAUUGGGCGUAAAGGGUGCGUAGGUGGCGGGGCAAGUCUGGUGUGAAAUCCCGGGGCUCAACCCUGGAACUGCACUGGAUACUGCUUUGCUAGAGUACUGGAGAGGGAACUGGAAUUUACGGUGUAGCAGUGAAAUGCGUAGAUAUCGUAAGGAGGACCAGUGGCGAAGGCGAGUUCCUGGACAGUUACUGACACUGAGGCACGAAGGCCAGGGGAGCAAACGGG